GACGAACGCUGGCGGCGUGCCUAAUACAUGCAAGUAGAACGCACAGUUUAUACCGUAGCUUGCUACACCAUAGACUGUGAGUUGCGAACGGGUGAGUAACGCGUAGGUAACCUGCCUGGUAGCGGGGGAUAACUAUUGGAAACGAUAGCUAAUACCGCAUAAUAUUAAUUAUUGCAUGAUAAUUAAUUGAAAGGUGCAAUUGCACCACUACAAGAUGGACCUGCGUUGUAUUAGCUAGUAGGUGAGGUAACGGCUCACCUAGGCGACGAUACAUAGCCGACCUGAGAGGGUGAUCGGCCACACUGGGACUGAGACACGGCCCAGACUCCUACGGGAGGCAGCAGUAGGGAAUCUUCGGCAAUGGACGAAAGUCUGACCGAGCAACGCCGCGUGAGUGAAGAAGGUUUUCGGAUCGUAAAGCUCUGUUGUAAGAGAAGAACGGGUGUGAGAGUGGAAAGUUCACACUGUGACGGUAUCUUACCAGAAAGGGACGGCUAACUACGUG
rnacentral:rRNA from 1 species